GAUGAACGCUGACAGAAUGCUUAACACAUGCAAGUCAACUUGAACUUCGGUUUGGGUGGCGGACGGGUGAGUAACGCGUACAGAACUUGCCUCACAGUUAGGGACAACAUUUGGAAACGAAUGCUAAUACCUGAUAUUAUGAUUUUAGGGCAUCCUAGAAUUAUGAAAGCUAUAUGCGCUGUGAGAGAGCUUUGCGUCCCAUUAGCUAGUUGGAGAGGUAACGGCUCACCAAGGCGAUGAUGGGUAGCCGGCCUGAGAGGGUGAACGGCCACAAGGGGACUGAGACACGGCCCUUACUCCUACGGGAGGCAGCAGUGGGGAAUAUGGGACAAUGGACCAAGAGUCUGAUCCAGCAAUUCUGUGUGCACGAUGAAGUUUUUCGGAAUGUAAAGUGCUUUCAGUUGGGAAGAAAAAAAUGACGGUACCAACAGAAGAAGUGACGGCUAAAUACGUG
rnacentral:rRNA from 1 species